rnacentral:rRNA from 1 species
GACGAACGCUGGCGGCGUGGUUAACACAUGCAAGUCGAACGAUGACGACCGAGCUUGCUCGGUCUGAUUAGUGGCGAACGGGUGAGUAACACGUGAGCAACCUGCCCUUCACUCUGGGAUAACCUCGGGAAAUCGGGGCUAAUACCGGAUAUGAGCUCCUGUCGCAUGGCGGGUGUUGGAAAGUUUUUCGGUGAAGGAUGGGCUCGCGGCCUAUCAGUUUGUUGGUGAGGUAGUGGCUCACCAAGGCGAUGACGGGUAGCCGGCCUGAGAGGGCGACCGGCCACACUGGGACUGAGACACGGCCCAGACUCCUACGGGAGGCAGCAGUGGGGAAUAUUGCACAAUGGGCGAAAGCCUGAUGCAGCGACGCCGCGUGAGGGAUGACGGCCUUCGGGUUGUAAACCUCUUUCAGCAGGGAAGAAGCGAAAGUGACGGUACCUGCAGAAGAAGCGCCGGCUAACUACGUG